rnacentral:tRNA from 1 species
CGGGGCGUAGCUCAGCUGGCUUAGAGCGCACGGUUCGGGACCGUGAGGUCGUCCGUUCAAAUCGGAUCGCCCCGA